rnacentral:rRNA from 1 species
UACGUAGGGUGCGAGCGUUGUCCGGAAUUACUGGGCGUAAAGAGCUCGUAGGUGGUUUGUCGCGUUGUUCGUGAAAUCUCACGGCUUAACUGUGAGCGUGCGGGCGAUACGGGCAGACUUGAGUACUGCAGGGGAGACUGGAAUUCCUGGUGUAGCGGUGAAAUGCGCAGAUAUCAGGAGGAACACCGGUGGCGAAGGCGGGUCUCUGGGCCGUAACUGACGCUGAGGAGCGAAAGCGUGGGGAGCGAACAGG